UAAGGAAUAUUGGGCAAUGGAGGCAACUCUGACCCAGCCAUGCCGCGUGAAGGAUGACUGCCCUAUGGGUUGUAAACUUCUUUUGUAUGGGAAUAAACUCUCGUUCGUGAACGAGACUGAAUGUACCAUAAGAAUAAGCACCGGCUAACUCCGUGCCAGCAGCCGCGGUAAUACGGAGGGUGCAAGCGUUAUCCGGAUUUAUUGGGUUUAAAGGGUGCGUAGGCGGGAUUGUAAGUCAGUGGUGAAAUCUUCCGGCUCAACCGGAAAACUGCCAUUGAUACUGCAGACCUAGAGUACAUUUGAAGUGGGCGGAAUGUGUCAUGUAGCGGUGAAAUGCUUAGAGAUGACACAGAACACCGAUUGCGUAGGCAGCUCACUAAACUGUAACUGACGCUGAGGCACGAAAGCGUGGGGAUCAAACAGG
rnacentral:rRNA from 1 species